UUAACUAUUAUAUAGUACUCAGACGACACUAAUAUUCAGGGUUUGGGGUCCUCUGGCGGACACUUACCAGCCGAAGCCGGUAGCCUGACCGAAAUCUGACGGCCCGCCAAAGCAACAAAGGUAAUAAAUAACACAGGGGUGGGAGAUCUACCCGUAAGGGCAUGAACUCGGUAAUGAUCCCUCCGCAGGUUCACCUACGGAGA
rnacentral:misc_RNA from 1 species